rnacentral:tRNA from 1 species
CGGCACGUAGCGCAGCCUGGUAGCGCACCGUCAUGGGGUGUCGGGGGUCGGAGGUGCAAAUCCUCUCGUGCCGACCA